rnacentral:rRNA from 1 species
AUUGAACGCUGGCGGCAGGCCUAACACAUGCAAGUCGAACGAGUGGCGGACGGGUGAGUAAUGUCUGGGAAACUGCCUGAUGGAGGGGGAUAACUACUGGAAACGGUAGCUAAUACCGCAUACCAUCAGAUGUGCCCAGAUGGGAUUAGCUAGUAGGUGGGGUAACGGCUCACCUAGGCGACGAUCCCUAGCUGGUCUGAGAGGAUGACCAGCGGCACUGGAACUGGGACACGGUCCAGACUCCUAAGGUAGGCAGCAGUGGGGAAUAGUGCGCAAUGGGCGCAAGCCUGAUGCAGCCAUGCCGAGUGUGUGAAGAAGGCCUUCGGGUUGGAAAGCACUUUCAGCGGGGAGGCGUUACCCGCAGAAGAAGCACCGGCUAACUCCGUGCCAGCAGCCGCGGUAAUAC